rnacentral:rRNA from 1 species
CUCCUGACUGACCGAUAGUGAACCAGUACCGUGAGGGAAAGGCGAAAAGAACCCCUGUGAGGGGAGUGAAAUAGAACCUGAAACCGUAUACGUACAAGCAGUGGAAGCGGUUCUUGAGACCGUGACUGCGUACCUUUUGUAUAAUGGGUCAGCGACUUACAUUUAGUAGCGAGGUUAAGCGAAUAGCGGAGCCGUAGGGAAACCGAGUGUUAACUGCGCGUAUAGUUGCUAGGUGUAGACCCGAAACCCGGUGAUCUAGCCAUGGGCAGGUUGAAGGUUGAGUAACAUCAACUGGAGGACCGAACCGACUAAUGUUGAAAAAUUAGCGGAUGA